rnacentral:rRNA from 1 species
GAUGAACGCUGGCGGCGUGCCUAAUACAUGCAAGUCGAGCGAACAGACGAGGAGCUUGCUCCUCUGACGUUAGCGGCGGACGGGUGAGUAACACGUGGAUAACCUACCUAUAAGACUGGGAUAACUUCGGGAAACCGGAGCUAAUACCGGAUAAUAUAUUGAACCGCAUGGUUCAAUAGUGAAAGACGGUUUUGCUGUCACUUAUAGAUGGAUCCGCGCCGCAUUAGCUAGUUGGUAAGGUAACGGCUUACCAAGGCAACGAUGCGUAGCCGACCUGAGAGGGUGCUCGGCCACACUGGAACUGAGCCACGGUCCAGACUCCUACGGGAGGCAGCAGUAGGGAAUCUUCCGCAAUGGGCGCAAGCCUGACGGAGCAACGCCGCGUGAGUGAUGAAGGUCCUCGGAUCGUAAAACUCUGUUAUUAGGGAAGAACAAAUGUGUAAGUACCUAUGCACGUCUUGACGGUACCUUAUCAGAAAGCCACGGCUAACUACGUG